rnacentral:rRNA from 1 species
UAGCAAUACUUAGUGGCAGACGGGUGAGUAACAUGUAGGUAUCUGCCCUUUGGCCUGGAAUAACACGAGGAAACUUGUGCUAAUACCGGAUAAGUCUUUACGGAGAAAGCUUUAUGCACCAUUGGAUGAGCCUGCACUUGAUUAGUUUGUUGGUGGGGUAAUGGCCUACCAAGACUGUGAUCAAUAGCUGAUUUGAGAGGAUGAUCAGCCACAUUGGGACUGAGACACGGCCCAAACUCCUACGGGAGGCAGCAGUGGGGAAUCUUGCACAAUGGAGGAAACUCUGAUGCAGCGAUGCCGCGUGAGUGAAGAAGGCCUUUGGGUUGUAAAGCUCUUUCGUCGGGGAAGAAAAUGACUGUACCCGAAUAAGAAGGUCCGGCUAACUUCGUGCCAGCAGCCGCGGUAAUACGAAGGGACCUAGCGUAGUUCGGAAUUACUGGGCUUAAAGAGUUCGUAGGUGGUUGAAAAAGUUAGUGGUGAAAUCCCAGAGCUUAACUCUGGAACUGCCAUUAAAACUUUUCAGCUAGAGUAUGAUAGAGGAAAGCAGAAUUUCUAGUGUAGAGGUGAAAUUCGUAGAUAUUAGAAAGAAUACCAAUUGCGAAGGCAGCUUUCUGGAUCAUUACUGACACUGAGGAACGAAAGCAUGGGUAGCGAAGAGGAUUAGAUACCCUCGUAGUCCAUGCCGUAAACGAUGUGUGUUAGACGUUGGAAAUUUAUUUUCAGUGUCACACGGAAACCGAUACACACACCGCCUGGGGAGUACGACCGACAAGGUUAAAACUCUAAUGAAUUGACAGAC